rnacentral:rRNA from 1 species
UACGUAGGGUGCGAGCGUUAAUCGGAAUUACUGGGCGUAAAGCGUGCGCAGGCGGUGCUGUAAGACCGAUGUGAAAAUCCCCGGGCUUAACCUGGGAACUGCAUUGGUGACUGCAGCGCUGGAGUAUGGGCAAGAGGGGGGUGGAUUCCACGUGUAGCAGUGAAAUCGUAGAGAUGUGGAGGAACACCGGUGGUGUAAACGGACUUUCUGGACCAUAACUGACGCUGAGGCGCGAAAGCGUGGGGAGCAAACAG